AUGGCGUCCCUCACCACCACCACCGCCUCCUCGCCGGCCGCCCUGCCCGCGGCGGCCUCCGCCGCCCCGGCCACGGCCUCGUCCGUCUCGCCCACCGCGGCCGCCUCCAAGCGCCCGCACCUCGCCGGCGACGACGCGCCCUGGCGCGUCGCGGCCGCCGGCUCCGCCGGAAUCCGCCCCGUCCCGCGCAUCCACCACGGCCCCGUCCUCCGCGUCGCCCAGGACGACUCCUCCGCCUACGCCCUCGCCAUCAUGAGGGUACGUACCGCUCCGCCUUGGUUUGGUUCAAUUUUCGUCGGUUGGUGGGUAGGUGAGGGGAGGCCUGAUUUUGAUCCCCAUCUCUCUCUGCAGAAUCCGGAUCCGAUAGGGAUGGGGCUGGCCAUGGAGGCCGUAGCUGAGGCUGCUGGCCCGGAGUGCAUCGUGCCCGGCCAGCAGGCGCCUCUGCGGCUGAUGGGACUCAAGGUUUGGCCCCUAGAUAUAGAGAUGAAGUUCUUGGAACCAUUUGGCCGGGAAUUACACUCCAUGAAGAAGUUCAUGGACAAAUCAUGCAGCGUCAUGGACUCAUCUUCUAUAACACAUAAGUAG
rnacentral:rRNA from 1 species